rnacentral:lncRNA from 1 species
CUGCAGACCGAGGAGGAAAACCUGUCGGCAUUAUGGAGGGACAAGCGGGAAGCUUUGAGCAGACACUGGUUCACCGGCAACACUUUGAGGACCACUGCACUAUUCUAGACCUUAACAUGACAGAGAUCAGACAUGACUUGGAUAAAAGACAGUAAGGCUGUGACCGCUGAAACUCCGGGGCAAAGGUCCUGCAGCUUUCAUUUUAGAAAGAGAGGGGGACGCCACUUACAAAGUGCAUGCAAUGUAUAGUAGCUGCUCUAUGGAAAGCAGGAGAGAAAAGGCUGCAUGGUCACCGGACAGACGCGGAUCCCUUCUCAGUGGAAUCUGCGUCUGACUGAAGAUAAUCUGGGUGGCACGAAAUGUGGAUGCUCUCAUACGGUGGAACAGGUGCAACAGCUGCUGGCUCAACAGACGGAUCUCCACGUGAUGUUCUGCAAAGUAUCACCGAACUAUGAGGACUCCAGAGUGUGUAUCCCAUCAGAGUACCAUUUCGACCAACUCAAAAAAGAAUAAGAAAAAAAAUCUUUCAGGUUUAUUUACGCCUAAAUUGAUUUCUGACACCUCUUCUGAAUUAAGACAACUUGUUUGAUAUGGCAACAUUUGAAUUAAAAUUAUGCUUCUUUUGAGUCUGGUCACUUAAUCCACCAUCGAGAAGUUUAAAAAGUCCAGAGC